GGAGUUUGGACCGUGUCUCAGUUCCAAUGUGGGGGACCUUCCUCUCAGAACCCCUACCGAUCGAGGGCUUGGUGGGCCGUUACCCCGCCAACUACCUAAUCGGACGCAUCCCCAUCCAUGGCCGGUAAACCUUUAGUCCUCGUUAGAUGUCUGCAAAGGACCCCAUAGGGCAUUAAUCCGACUUUCGCCGGGCUAUCCUCUACUAAGGGGAAGGUUGGAUACGCGUUACUCACCCGUGCGCCGGUCGCCAGCGACAAUAGCAAGCUAUCGUCCUGCUGCCCCUCGACUUGCAUGUGUUAAGCCUGCCGCUAGCGUUCAUC
rnacentral:rRNA from 1 species